rnacentral:rRNA from 1 species
GAUGAACGCUGGCGGCGUGCCUAAUACAUGCAAGUCGAGCGAACAGAUGAGGAGCUUGCUCCUCUGACGUUAGCGGCGGACGGGUGAGUAACACGUGGAUAACCUACCUAUAAGACUGGGAUAACUUCGGGAAACCGGAGCUAAUACCGGAUAAUAUAUUGAACCGCAUGGUUCACUAGUGAAAGCCGGUUUUGCUGUCACUUAUAGAUGGAUCCGCGCCGCAUUAGCUAGUUGGUAAGGUAACGGCUUACCAAGGCAACGAUGCGUAGCCGACCUGAGAGGGUGAUCGGCCACACUGGAACUGAGACACGGUCCAGACUCCUACGGGAGGCAGCAGUAGGGAAUCUUCCGCAAUGGGCGAAAGCUUGACGGAGCAACGCCGCGUGAGUGAUGAAGGUCUUCGGAUCGUAAAACUCUGUUAUUAGGGAAGAACAAAUGUGUAAGUAACUAUGCACGUCUUGACGGUACCUAAUCAGAAAGCCACGGCUAACUACGUG